GUUACUGGAAAUGAGGAGAGCCUCCCAGGUCCCAGCAGAGCUGCUGCUGGUGCCUCCCACUGUGGGCUCCACAGAGGCAGAGGAUGAGGGAGCCACUGAUGCGCCCCUGUAAGGCAGCCUCCCUGAGCGAGCAGGAGCAGGUCAGGGGUGAGUGUGGAAGGAUGACAGCCCAGGGCAUCCUAGGCCCCUGGGGCAAGAGCAAGCUCCCUGUGCUUCCUGACCUCCGCCUCAUUUGCCGAUACACAUGCUUAUGUCAGGAGAUACCUGGAGUCAUCUCAACUCCUGUCCCCAUUCUGCAGGUCCACAAGUCACCAGGUUCCAUUCCCCUUCCCCUCCACAUAUCUCGGAGCUGUCACAGACUCUCCAUGCCCCAUUUCAGGGGUCUUGGCCCAGGCCUUGUCAUGCCUUAUCUGGACCAAGAGCAACGGUCCCCAACCAGCUCCACCCAGGUACCCCCUGCCCCAUGCAUGUCCCCCAUAGUUGCACCAUGCCUGCUGGCACCUGCCCCCUCUCUUCACUGGUACUCCAGCAGCUGCAGAGGCAGGGCUGAACCCUGGGCCUGCUCUCAGGCCCCCACCUCCUGCUCAUCCUCCACCUGGCCCGAGCCCUCCAUGGCUGUUUGCCUCUUGCCCACAUCUUCCAUGUCGAUAUUGCCUGAGACUGGAGGAUGCAUCAGAGCAUGGGUCCUUGAGCCAGCUUAAAAAUGGUGUGUGAGGCCGGGCAUGGUGGUUCACGCCUGUAAUCCCAGCACUUUGGGAGGCCGAGGGUCUACAGGAGUUAGUGCAUGCAGCGUGCUUAGGACAGGGCCUGCUGGAGGACUGUUUACUACUAUUAUUAAUGACUGGUACCCGGGGCUAGUGAUCCAGCAUUUCCUGCCUAGCGCCCCUGCCCUGUCCGUUCCAUGAGAACCGGCCCUCCUCAGCCUCACCAGGGACAUCGACAUGUCUGACCCCCUGCAGCCUGCAGGGGGAGGACACGGAGACCCUGAGCAGGCAGCGACUUCUGGAGUUCAACAGCCCCCUAGGGCAGACCUGUGGAUGCAAAGCCGGGCUCCAGGUACGCAGUGCCCUUGGGGGCCGCCAGGUGCUGGCAGCAGGGCCAUGGGGACCUGGGACUAAGCCCUCUCUGCCUCCAGGAAAAAGCAAAAGGGGAUCAUGGUCCCAGCCCCCCAUUCGAGGUCCUCUCCGCUUGGCAGGAGACGAAGGACACUGACCCUAGCACUCAGCAUGGGCUGGCAAACCUAAUCAGUGCCCAUGGAUUAUGUUUGUCAUCCACUGACUGGUGGAUGGAUUGAGAACCUUGGAGUUAUCUUUCUGAAUCUUCCCUCCUUGACAGCAACUCACCUCCGCUCACCAAGGGGUCCAGGAAGGCACCUGACUCUCAGGACUGCUGGUGUCUUGGCCACCCUGGGAGAGAAAUUCAUCUGGCUUAUGGCACAGGGACAGAAGCAGGCCGGCUGAGGACAAGGUAACAGAAGGGCUAGGGCUUUUAGAAGACAAAGCUUCCUUCACGGAUGCAGAAGGAGAAUGCUGUUUCGCUGCGCUGGGCAACCUGGGUUUGAAUCCCAUCGCUGGGAUAAGUGACUGACAGGCAGGGCGCACAGCAGGUGUUCGGCACACAGAGCCCUUACUGAAGAUACUGCUCAACAAGGCAGGAUCUGCCUGGCCCUGGCUUCAGGCCCUCGGCAGGGGCUGGGCAGCCACUCUUGCCCAUGCCCUGGUGGCCCCGAGAUGCCAGCACUCCUCUAGGUAGUUGGGGAACCCACCCAGGGUGGAGGAGGUGGGCAAGGCCUGGGAUUCCACGUCUCCAGGGCAGCAGACCCCACGGUCUCCAGGGAUCUUGUCUGUGCCCAAACUCCUGAGCUUUCCCUGUCCUUUCCCUCAAGGGCCCUGGCCCUGGUGGCUGCAGAAGUGGGAGGAGGGGAUGUGGGGGAGUCUGGGGAAGGCUACCUUCCAUGACGCUCUGCCAAGCCAGGAGGGGCAAAGGAGUAACCUGGUCCCCAUGCUGGACCCUGGACUCCAGGGAGCAGAGCCUACAGCCAGCUUAGCCUUGAGUCCCCUGCCUCUGUGGAGCUGGCCCUACCCCAGAUGGCCACUGUGCCUGAGGCCCAGCAUCUGACCCUCUGUCCUCCCUGCCGAGGGGCCAGAACAGAGGCCCCGGGAACAGGCAAGGCGCAGUGCAUGGAGCUGACCCCGUGCCUCGGUCCAGGCCUAGUAACAGGAAGUGAGAGGCCAAUGCCGGUAAACGAGAUCCAAAAGAUUAGAGGCCUCGCUGCCGCCCCAACUUAGAGGACAAGUUCCUGGAAGGAGGAGGAAGCUGCCGCAGUAAAUAACGCCAGACCCCAGCAUCCCAGCUGUCAGCAGCCAGUAUGGCCACAGGCUGAUAUGUGGUUUCACUAUGUUGACCAGACUGGUCUCGAACUGCUGACCUUGUGAUCUGCCCGCCUUGGCCUCUCAAAGUGCUGGGAUUGAAGGCAUGAGCCACCGCGCCCGGCCCUGGGGUGAAAUCUUUGCAACGCACAGAACCCACAAGGAUCAGUAUGCCUGCACAUACCAACCAGCCUGACCAGUCAAUGAGAAAAGACCAGAACAGGCUCUUCAGAAAGAGGAAUUCAAAUGGCUAAAACAUAAGAAAAGGUGCUCUCCUUUAGCAGUUAACAGCAAGAGCAGGUCCCGGUGUGGUGGCUCAUGCCUAUAAUCCCAGCACCUUGGGAGGCUGAGUGGGGCAGAUUGCUUGAGCCCAGGAGUUCAGGCUGCAAUGAGCUAUGAUUGCACCACUGCACUGCAGCCUGGGUGACAGAGCAAGACUCAGUUUCUUCAAAAAAAAAAAAAAAAAAAAGAGGCCGGGCACAGUGGCUCAUGCCUGUAAUCCCACCACUUUGGAAGGCUGAGGCGGGCAGAUCACCUGAGGUCAAGAGUUCGAG
rnacentral:lncRNA from 1 species